UUGUACUUCAUUUGUUGUACUUCAUUUGUUGUACUUGUGUUGUUGUACUUAUUUUGUUGUACUUAUUUAGUCUGUUAUGGCAUAAGUGAAGAGAGAAGAGGGAACCCAGAGAGAAUGUGCUGGGGGAUGUGGUGACGGGUGACAGCAGUUAGAGGGCCCUCGGCGACAGGACAUAGGAACCAGAGGGCCCCUAGGCCAUGUGGUACAGCAACCAGAUGAGUCACCAGCAGUGUUGGGUGACCACAAAGAUGACCUGACAAUCUAUGAAGAACUCCUGAUGACUGCACUCAAGUACCAUAAUUGUGGUGGAUCCUCCUGCUGAAGGAGAACGGGGACGGCACCUGGAGCCAGGCGUUUCCUUUGGCCCUUUAAGAGAGAACCACAAGUUGUGCCUUCACAUAUAAAACUGUAAAAAAGUUGCAUUGUUGUUGAGAUGCUUGAAAGUUGUGUUUAUGUGUGUCAUUGGGUGCACAGGUGCAGCAUUAACAAGUAUACAUACUUUGCAAAUGAGGUAUUUCGGACUGAAAUGGUCCUCGCAGACCACAUAUCCUCCUUUUUUUCCCUCCUCAGUUGUCAUUUUUACUCGAAGGUCUGCCCUUCUUGCGUGGUAGAGCCACUUUUCACGCCUGUAAAGAUUACAGUUCCAAUAAAGUCUCACUGUUUUAUACACUAGUGUUGUGAGUGAAUGAAUUACCCAUUUAUGUAUUAUGUAUAAGAAGUUAAUAUUUUGUUUAAUUCACAAGUAUAUUUAGUUAAGUUAGCCUAUGUGCAGUUUGCAGUAUGUGUUGGUAAUGUUGCAUUUUAAAAUGCCCCCCCUACAGAUUACAAUGACCAAAACUGGAAGGAUGUUUCUUAAUAAAGUCUCUCAAUUUUUGAGUGUAGUAGCUGUAAUCUGAUUACCACCUAUUGAACUAGUAGGCCUAACU